rnacentral:rRNA from 1 species
ACUCCUACGGGAGGCAGCAGUGGGGAAUCUUGGACAAUGGGGGCGAACCCUGAUCCAGCCAUGCCGCGUGAGUGAUGAAGGCCUUAGGGUCGUAAAGCUCUUUCGCCUGUGAAGAUAAUGACGGUAGCAGGUAAAGAAACCCCGGCUAACUCCGUGCCAGCAGCCGCGGUAAUACGGAGGGGUUAGCGUUGUUCGGAAUUACUGGGGCGUAAAGCGCACGUAGGCGGAUCGGAAAGUUGGGGUGAAAUCCCGGGGCUCAACCCCGGAACUGCCUCCAAACUAUCGGUCUAGAGUUCGAGAGAGGUGAGUGGAAUUCCGAGUGUAGAGGUGAAAUUCGUAGAUAUUCGGAGGAACACCAGUGGCGAAGGCGGCUCACUGGCUCGAUACUGACGCUGAGGUGCGAAAGUGUGGGGAGCAAACAGGAUUAGAUACCCUGGUAGGACAGUG